ensembl:antisense Gm29361 predicted gene 29361
AAUUCUUAAGUAACACCAUUUAUUAGUAUAAGCCAACAUCAUGUUAUACAAAAUUUUAGUGAGCAUUUUACAUACAUUUUUUCCAGUCCCAAAGUCCAACCUGUGAAGUGGAUCGAAAUGUAACUCUCAUUUUACUGAUGAAGAAAAUCAAGACUUAAAAAAGUUUAAUAAGCACAUUGUCUGCUUGAAUCACAACUGAGCAAUUGAAUGUCUUAUGAGAACACUGAACUCUUUGAAAUAUCUUUUAUAAAAAAAUUAAAGUUCUCACAAAAUUACAUUCGUGGUGUGAAUACUCCCCGUUAAACUAUCAACCUUUCUUAAAUCUAUAUACAGGCUUACAAGAAUCAAUAUCAUACAGCGACCCUCUUACUUGUGGGGAAAAAAAACAAGAGAUUUUUAAACUGAAGAGAAACUGAAAUUGAGGGUGCUCACAGACAACACACAAAAAAACUGUUUAUACAAUACUGCCUCUACCUGAUUCACCUUAUUUCACUAAAGCACUAUGAUACAAGAGAAGCCCAAUCUUUUCCCUCCUUUUGGUCGGCUUUACUCUGACCUGUAUCAAAAUGGCAUUUCCACGUCAAUAUAAAUCCAUUAUUACAUAACUUCAAGAUAACCUUCAUACUCUUAUUUCGAAAACUGUAUUUAAAAAUCAAUACUGAAAACAAAAGGAGGGCAGCAUAUUUUAAUAUGAAGAAGGCUGGUGCCGCCUAGAAUGAAUGGAGAGAUCCUUUACAGCAUCCCUCCCAAUCGGAAAGGGGAUCAGACGGUGAAACUCAUCACUAGCUCCAACAAGCAGGAAAGGUGCUUUAAAACCAAAAAAGUGGCCACUCGAUAAACUCAAGGAGGGGUGGGGCCCGUUCUUUUGGCGGCUGGCACUAGACUACCAGACAGAAAAGAAAUCCGUUGGUGGCCCGCACCUCGCUCCAAGAGUGGGCGCAGGCUACUUUCAAGGCGCAGCCUGGAGGCACUUGAGUCCUCGGCCCCGGAAACCUACUGAGAGGUGGCUCUGGAGGCCCCGAGGAGACAAGGGCCUCCGGGCCGACCGAUCCUAGCCCUGGCUAAGACAGGAGCCCCGUCAGGGCCCGAGGCGAUUCGCUCCCAAACUGAAACGGAAGCCAAUAGACAAAGUGGGCGACAAAAAAUAAAAUAAAAUUCCCGGAGGACCGCUCCGGCCGUGGGCCCGGCCUCCCCGGGCUCCUGGUUCACUGGUUUUUCCGAGGCCUUGGAGGGGAAGAGAAGCCCGAGCCGCGUGCCCGUCCCACCCCCCACCCCGCUGGGCCUCCACAGCGGCCCUGGCUUCUCCGCCGCCGCCUCCUCCUCCCGCAGCUGAGGUAGCAGGUCGAGCGGUUUCCUCACGCGUUCGGAAGCGUGGACUCACCCGCCGCUAAGAAAACGGUACUGUCUUCGCGGCCUCUGGGCGUCAGGUGAUGGAGUGGGGCUCCACCGGUUCGAGGUGUCUGCGCGCCGCCCGACUCUAGAGACUGGUUCCGAAGCGCCUACUCGCCUAGGCCGCAAAACACAGCCGCGCUGCGCGGGGAGCUCCUGGAGGGCUUCCUCUUGCCCGGCGUGCACUGCGCCAGGAGGCGUGGAAAGGGAUAACCAUAGAGAAGGUGAUGCCUAGAUAGUCUCCGCCGUCGCCUCUGACUCAUUAAGUACAGAGGGAUGACCAUAGAGUGGGAUUGUCUAGUGGGACCUAGAGAGGCUCGAGCUGUAAAUUACCACCCACCCUGCCAUUUUUGAUUGGAGCCGAUUGAAUCUUAUGACUGUGCGACGCCAUCUUGAGGUCAAGGUUCCGGCUGGUUACUCGCGCGGGGCUUGUUACAGGUUUUCUCACAUUUUUUGGUAGUUCGUUUUCCAGGAAUUAGAACCUUGGUCUCCUGAUUCUUGGAGGUUCGAUGACCUGAUACCUGGGCGGGACCGAGAACCUCAAUAGAAAGCCCAGAUGUCAUUUGUUCUUCGCAA